rnacentral:sRNA from 1 species
AUGCUCGGAAUCACUCGUACACACGGAUUCUGAGCGCGCCGUCCACACCACUUGACGACUGCUCGCCAGGUUUUGUUAGCC